rnacentral:tRNA from 1 species
CCGGGGAUACUUCUCCUGCCAAGAGAGAGACGCGGGUUCGAAUCCCGCCCUCCGGU